UCAGUUAGGACACCAUCC
rnacentral:snRNA from 1 species